GUCAUAUUGCUACAGACAGGGGUAUUUCAUGAACUUCAGCUGGCGUCUCAAAGCUCCAAGAACUAUGUAUCUGCCAUAUAAUUGACUGCUUAUAGUCACAGCAAACAUUUUCAUUAAUAUUGCUUCCUCUUUUUCUUUUUUCCUUUUCAAAUUUUGCUAGAGUUGCUACUAUUUACUAUCUAUCAGAAUUGCACUUGUUUUCAGGCAUUGUUCCAUUCUUGUGAAAUUGUUGUUUUGACAUAGAACCUUAUUGCUUCUUUACCUGCAUGUUUGAUUGCACUAUGAGGUACUUUUUACUUUACA
rnacentral:misc_RNA from 1 species